GCUCCUAAAGGAUAACAGUCAUCCACUGGUCUUAGGAACCAGAAACUCUUGGUGCAACUCCAAGUAGUAGCU
rnacentral:tRNA from 2 species